GGCCACCUGGCAAAAUGGCAUCGCGUCUGACUACGAAUUGUUAUCAGGAGACUGCAGGUUCAACCCCUGCGGUGGUCA